rnacentral:lncRNA from 9 species
UCAGAAUUAAAAGCGAUGCAGUCCAGAGCCCCCUCUGUCUCUACCUGCUUCUUCUCAAUGUCACUAUCGGCCAACAGCUUGAUACAAAACAGAUCCCCAGAAGGAUUCCAGUAACUCCUCAGGACCACCAGGGCAAAAACAAAAACAUUCAGGGCUUGACACUUACCAGGGCAACUUGCCAAGCUUAUCACAUGUGAAAAGAGCUGCUGGGAGAGAAUAAUCUUGCUCAUGUUCACAAGGCUGGGUGUUAAGUCUCUGAGAACCCAGGGCAUUUUCCAUCCAGGGCAGCCUAGAGAGGUUGGGAAAAGCCCUUUUCUAUGAACUGCCAGAAAGGCCAAUUAUAUGUUUUAUGGAAGUGAAGGCUGAAGGGGAACUUGAAAGGUCACAGGCAACCCUCACUGUCAAGAUCAUGGCAGAGCAGUAACCUAUGUGGAUGGCAACCAGUUCCAUUUAUUUUUCUUUUUGAGCCUUGAGAGGUACCUGGUCCACAAACUGAUAUAUCACCUUCAAAUCAAGACGAUGUUCUCAAUAUGCACCCAGGAGAGGAAGAAGAGGUUAACAUGCUAAAGUCCCAAGCAUGGAAGUAGAUACUGGAGGCAUCUGCCUUCCUUUUUUUCCAUUUCCAUGGCAAGCUGUUUCAAGGUGCUUCAUGAAAAGCUUCUCAAAACCAAUGUGUUCUAAAAGCCACAAGUUUGAUGACUGAUAAAAGAGUCACGAGAGAGAGUUUUUGCAUCUCUUCUUUAAUAGAGAUCUUGAAAAGCCAAAUGACUGAGAAAGAGCAUGAUUCAUCCUUUGCAAAUGUUGGAGCAUGUGUUUAACUGUCACCUACUGCAUUUUGCAGC